GAUGAACGCUAGCGGCAGGCUUAAUACAUGCAAGUCGAGGGGCAGCAGGUCUGUAGCAAUACAGAUGCUGGCGACCGGCAAACGGGUGCGGAACACGUACAGAACCUUCCUUCGAGCGGGGAAUAGCCCAGAGAAAUUUGGAUUAAUACCCCAUAGUAUAGCUCUACCGCAUGGUAGUACUAUUAAAGUCACAACGGUAA
rnacentral:rRNA from 1 species